rnacentral:rRNA from 1 species
UUNGGAGUUGAUCCUGGCUCAGAUUGAACGCUGGCGGCAUGCCUUACACAUGCAAGUCGAACGGCAGCACGGGGGCAACCCUGGUGGCGAGUGGCGAACGGGUGAGUAAUACAUCGGAACGUGUCCUGUAGUGGGGGAUAGCCCGGCGAAAGCCGGAUUAAUACCGCAUACGAUCUACGGAAGAAAGCGGGGGAUCGCAAGACCUCGCGCUAUAGGGGCGGCCGAUGGCAGAUUAGCUAGUUGGUGGGGUAAAGGCCUACCAAGGCGACGAUCUGUAGCUGGUCUGAGAGGACGACCAGCCACACUGGGACUGAGACACGGCCCAGACUCCUACGGGAGGCAGCAGUGGGGAAUUUUGGACAAUGGGGGGAAACCCUGAUCCAGCAAUGCCGCGUGUGUGAAGAAGGCCUUCGGGUUGUAAAGCACUUUUGUCCGGAAAGAAAAACUUCUGCCCUAAUACGGUGGGAGGAUGACGGUACCGGAAGAAUAG